CUACUUGCUUCAGCAGUACAAAUACUAAAAUUGGAAUGAUACAGAGAUUAGCAUGGUCCCUGUGCAAGGAUGACAUAGAUUUGUACAGCGUUCCAUAUUUUU